rnacentral:lncRNA from 1 species
GGAUCCUCCCGAAAUGAAAUGAAAAGUCCUGUAAUUUUUGACAGAGGAAUUUUCGAAAAAUUUCUGCCAAUAGAAUUGCUGGAGAUCGAUACGCCGAUCAGCCGUUUUUCUUUUUCUACGAUGGUGUGGAUGCACCUUUAAGGAUCAUGUCACAGUACCGUUCGAGAUGUAGGUCAGGCCUCAAAUAUGAUUAGGAGAGAGCAUGCGCGAAGCAAUUUUAGAAACUGAUAAUUAUAUAAUCGAAAUAUAAGAACCUUUAUUCAACAUAAUUGCUUUCCUAGAAUUAAAAGACAUCACUAUAUAGUUUGAUAAAAUUGAUCACAUUGAGUUUUCAAUUAAUAGCAUUAUCCAGUGUCUUAACAGCAUAGUACAAUCCACCCUCACAAAACUUAAUCCAAUAAGCAUCCGCAUUUACGUCAAGAAAAUUAUGAUAGUGAUUUUAUUCUAAAUAUGUAACUUAAUUUUGAAAAGGGUAUAAUUUAAAUAAUGUACAUUUUUGAACUAAUAGCAUAGUUCAGGCCACAGUCGUGAAGAAGACUUACUUUCUUAACAUCUUCUCAAACAUUAGGCAGUCCAACAUGAGCAUUUAUGUCAAUAAAACUUCUUUUUUGUUUUUUAAGCGACUGGUGACGAAUUAUUUAUUUAGGUAAAUGUACCAGUGUCUCGUCACAUUAAGAAAAGUUCGUAAUACGUAUGGUGGUAUAUCCAAGUUUAUGGUAUAUUGUUUUUGGUAAUAAUUUCAUUUAUAAGCAGAUAUAGUGAUGUUAAUAUUUCGGAAACUUUUGAUUGUUCCAGGAAAUUUCCGAAAC